rnacentral:rRNA from 1 species
UACGAAGGGGGCUAGCGUUGCUCGGAAUCACUGGGCGGAAAGCGCACGUAGGCGGCUUUUUAAGUCAGAGGUGAAAUCCUGGAGCUCAACUCCAGAACUGCCUUUGAUACUGAGAAGCUUGAGUCCGGGAGAGGUGAGUGGAACUGCGGGUGUAGAGGUGAAAUUCGUAGAUAUUCGCAAGAACACCAGUGGCGAAGGCGGCUCACUGGUCCGGUACUGACGCUGAGGUGCGAAAGCGUGGGGAGCAAACAGG